rnacentral:rRNA from 1 species
GACGAACGCUGGCGGCGUGCUUAACACAUGCAAGUCGAACGGAAAGGCCCUGCUUUUGUGGGGUGCUCGAGUGGCGAACGGGUGAGUAACACGUGAGUAACCUGCCCUUGACUUUGGGAUAACUUCAGGAAACUGGGGCUAAUACCGGAUAGGAGCUCCUGCUGCAUGGUGGGGGUUGGAAAGUUUCGGCGUUUGGGGAUGGACUCGCGGCUUAUCAGCUUGUUGGUGGGGUGGUGGCUUACCAAGGCUUUGACGGGUCGCCGGCCUGAGAGGGUGACCGGCCACAUUGGUACUGAGAUACGGCCCAGACUCCUACGGGAGGCAGCAGUGGGGAACAUUGCACAAUGGGCGGAAGCCUGAUGCAGCAACGCCGCGUGCGGGAUGACGGCCUUCGGGUUGUAAACCGCUUUCGCCUGUGACGAAGCGUGAGUGACGGUAAUGGGUAAAGAAGCACCGGCUAACUACGUG